UCUACGGGAGGCAGCAGUGGGGAAUAUUGCGCAAUGGGCGGAAGCCUGACGCAGCGACGCCGCGUGGGGGAUGACGGCCUUCGGGUUGUAAACCUCUUUCGACCUCGACGAAGCCUUUGGGUGACGGUAGGGGUAGAAGAAGCACCGGCCAACUACGUGCCAGCAGCCGCGGUAAUACGUAGGGUGCGAGCGUUGUCCGGAAUUAUUGGGCGUAAAGAGCUCGUAGGCGGUGUGUCGCGUCGGUCGUGAAAACUUUCAGCUUAACUGGGAGCUUGCGGUCGAUACGGGCAUCACUGGAGUUCGGCAGGGGAGACUGGAAUUCCUGGUGUAGCGGUGAAAUGCGCAGAUAUCAGGAGGAACACCGGUGGCGAAGGCGGGUCUCUGGGCCGAUACUGACGCUGAGGAGCGAAAGCGUGGGGAGCGAACAGGAUUAGAUACCCUGGUAGUCCACGCCGUAAACGGUGGGCGCUAGGUGUGGGGGCCAUUCCACGGUCUCUGUGCCGCAGCUAACGCAUUAAGCGCCCCGCCUGGGGAGUACGGCCGCAAGGCUAAAACUCAAAGGAAUUGACGGA
rnacentral:rRNA from 1 species